GUCUUUUCUAGGGGUACCGUAAUUUUUGUCCAGGCCUGUUUCAUGAGUUAUAUUUUUUAAAAUAAUUCUGUUGAACCACGGUUCAAAAGCAAUGUCUGAUUUUCAUUGGUUAAUUUUCAUAGAAUUUUUAUUUAUUAUUAUUUUUGUCAAAUUCUAAUUAUUUCUGUGACCAUAAUGGAUUUUUCUUUCAUUAACUGAGGGGUACCAACAAUUUUGUCCACGUAUGUAAAGGGAGCCAUAUCAGACAUCAACAGAGACCACUACAAAUGCACAGUAGAGGUGACGGUAAAGGAAAAUAUAUUAAUAUGUACAGUUGUUAUAGAAUAUUCACAUUCAUACACAUUCCACAAUGCAAAAAAAAUAAAAAUAAUCAUCUCUGGUCAUUGGUCGAGGGAUUUCAGUAAAUCUCAAUAAAGACUUUUAUUUUUUUUUGUACCAAAAUAGGCAGUUAGAGCAGGGAUAAAUAUUAUAAUAUGUUAGAUAUAGAUCGUUCUCUGUAAUAGAUUCUUUGCAUCGGUGCUUUACUCUAACAGACAGUGGCAUGGUCCCCUGGCUAAAACACACAGCCAGAGUCACAAAGAGAGUCCAGUUCUGUCAUCUGACACAUACCGUCAUACAUAUAGGCUGUAUAAAAGAAGUAGAUGUAGAUUCUGGCUCUGAAAAGUGAAGCCAAUGUGGAAAUGCCUUAAAGAUGCAUUCUUUGUAAUGGCCAGCAGGAGGCGACUUCACAAAGAAUUCUGAUUACGUAGACGUAUAUGAGGAAUUGAUCCUACUUCUCACUUGAUAUAAUACCUCAGUAAACAUUUUUCUAAUGAGUUAAUGAUCUUAGUUUCUAGUUCCAAGUCUUCUUCAAUACAACUCGAUGUUCAUUUAGUAAAUUAUAGUUCCAUUUAAUAAAAAACAGAUAAUAAAGCAGGGUAUGGUUCAGGGCCAGACUAACUUGGGUUGACAAAUCGCUACCGUGCAUAGUGUCUUCGAGUUCUCGGUCAGAUCCACCUCUCGCUCCUGUCCAAGUCCACCUUCUUGUCCGAAUAUCAUCAUCUUCAGGCUCCAUCAAAACAAAAUGGUGACGACCAAAAUGCCAAACUUGAUGCUUCAAAAUGUUAGUCCACAAACUGACGGGUGAUGUCACAGUGGCUACAUCCACUUCUUUUAUACAAGCUACGUCCAUCUACUUGAUCAGUAAGGAUUACAGAUGGAAAAAAUUUAGUUUAGCUGAACAUUCUCUGCGGAAACAUUAAAGCUUUCAAAACACAUGUGGGAUAAAUAACAAUUCAUUAUUUAGACCUAAGAGCUACUCUGUUGACAGAACAGUCUUUCUGUAUGACCCUGGUCUCCAGUCAGCUUGGAGUUGCCUCGGGGUUGAGGGUGGAGAUGGGGAGUGGGUGGCUGACAAGGUCCAUACAGGGGCUGGGUCACCAAAAGCAUCUUGGUAUCUCGAAUGUUACACUUGACAACAGAUUAUUUUCAUGUUUCAGGUUAGUCGGAUUCAUGACCUCAGCACUCGUGUUCAUUCGGUCACAUCAAGUUCCUCUCUAAGUCAAAACAUUUCUUUUUUUACCUUUACACCUUCAGAUGUCUACUUUCUGACAGGAAUGACACAAUCUUUGCUAAUCCAAAGUUCAAUCAUGUUUUUACAGUGACACAUAUUAAAGGUGCUGUGUGCAUCUUUGUAAACAAACAAAAGUUAUGUUUACAUUCACCACUGAUCCUUCCACCAACCAUUAAUCUGCAGAUAAGUGUUAAACCAGCAGCAAGAUGUAAAACACACCACCCACAUGCAUCCUUGUGUAUUGUAUAAAUAAAACAGGGACCCAGUGGUAAAAACACUGCUCCACAGCUCUUUUCAGGAGACUAAAAGUAUCUAUAUGUUAGUUUAAUAUAGUGUAUGAGCUUAUCCUCAAUCUCUGCUACGAGCAGCAAAGACCCAGUAAAGACUGCUACAACUAACAGAUUUACAAAGCAAGGGGCAUUCAUGAUAUACUUGUACUAUUAAAGGUGCAAUAUGCAUGUUUUUGAGCACAAAUAUAGCAUUAAUAUAGCAGCAAACAACUAUCAGCUAUGUAAAGAUACAGAGUAAUGGUGUCCUUAGCAGAGAAUGGACUCCCACUCCCUCUGUGUGUUUUAUACUCAGAGCUUCCCUGUUCUAUUUUUUGGCAGCUGGUCCAGCUGUGCAUGCAUGCUGGUGCAUGUGAAAUCCUCCCUUUGAAACUGACCUCCCUGCUGCUCCAUCUCCACCACGUCUGUUCUACUGCGGUCUUUGUGUGUCUGUUUCCACACAGGUUCGCUCCGUUCUUGGGUCCCUUUCGGUCCGACAAACAGUGGAAACGGACACACACCAACCAGAACAAACAUGAAGAAGAAAAGACAAGCGAAGUGAAGAUGCUGUUCGUCGAGUUGACAACAACUCACUACAGCAAUUCAGUGUCUUAUAGAGUGAUAAUUAGGCUUAUGGUUGUGGCAGGAUUGAAUUUUGUUGGCUCUCCUGCACAUAAUAUUUCUGGUUGUAAAUGAAAAUGAAAGGCGUGGGGAAGUGUGUCUCACGUACCCGUACAUUUUGGUCUGAGAUGCUGGUGUUCUCCAUCAGGUGGUGCUAAGCGAUGCACACAGAACCUUUAAUCUUGCAGCUCCUUUGAAAAAUAUAAACAUUCUGGAAAUUCAACACAAGUCUGUUGCCUGAAAUAAGUGUGAAUUUCAGUCCACUGUCCAUGCUCUGUGGCCUGCACAAACGUUAGAUUAAAAUGCUAGUUUAGCCCCAUUCAAACAACAUCUACAGAAUGUAUGAAAACAUCGUUGAGGAUACAACCCUUAGUGAACACAACCAUAACGGAACCAUGUAGUAACGGAGUGCUGAGGUCAAACAUACGACUGGCUUCAAACUUCAAAAUCCAGUGUGAAAAAACCUGUUGGCACAAGAGCACUGCAGUAGAUUCUGACUGUAGAUUUUACUGGAGGAGUACAUUUGAUGUUUUUAAAUACUUAGCAACAGCAUGACGUACAGCAAAUAAGUAAACUGCAAAAAGCCGUCAUCAAAAACUGUCCUCUGACCUGUUGUCAAACCAGCAUAACAACCACUGAAAGAAAAGUGAGUGCAUAAUAUCAUCAUAUCCAUAAACUAGAACCAAUGGGACGGAAUCAGCUGCUGCGCUAAGAUGCUUUUAAGAAACCAGCCCUCAUUAGUGCAACUACGGUAAGAAGGAAAGCUGUAACGAUGAUGCUGAUGAUUACGAUUGUGAUGAUAGCGCUGAUGAAGAAGAUGAUACACUGUUCAAUGUCAGGAGUGCACAACUAACGUCACACUGUGGGUGUAAAGAGGAGAGAAGAGGAGAGAGAUGAAGACGAGGGACAGAGAGAAGAAGGAGGAGGAGGAAGGAAAAGGCUGAGAAGUCUUGUGGGAUGAAGACUUGGACAAAACAGACCCAGGUUUCUUAAAAAGAGAAUCUGGCCCUUUAUUUAUCAAGUUGCUGAGAAAACAUUUUUUGAAGCUAAAAGUAAAAAGCGUUCACCGUGACUCCUCACAGAUUAAAGCUAAUUAUGAAAUUUAAAAUCUCUUUAAAAACGCUCUUCAAUGGAAGUGUUUUAGACGAUUACACAAGUUGUAACCGGUCAGGAUGAGCAAAACAUUAGCAGAAGCAAUUUGUAAAACUCAGAGUUGGGUAUUUUGAAAUUUUAACAUUUAAUGGGUUUC
ensembl:lncRNA